CUCAUCCUAACAUUGCCUUCGAGAUGAGUUACUACCCCCAGCAGCAGCAGGCUCCUCCUCAAGAGCAGGUCCAUCCGCCGACUAAUGACGCGCUUCCGCCGGCGGGCUAUCCGAGCAGGGACGGUGCUGUGAAUUCACAACAAGUUCCCGUCGAGACCAAGAGCCGUGGCGGUAGCUUCUGGAGAGGAUGCUUCGCGGGCUGGUGUUGCUGCUGCUGUCUGGACAUGUGCUGCUGAGGAAAGUAGACGGAGAUUUAUAUUAUUAUUGUAUGAUGAUGGAAUUGCUGUUAUUGCCAAUUAUAUGUUGCAUGAGACAUUGUUUAUUUGA